rnacentral:rRNA from 1 species
AAAUUGAAGAGUUUGAUCAUGGCUCAGAUUGAACGCUGGCGGCAGGCCUAACACAUGCAAGUCGAGCGGCAGCGGGAAAGUAGCUUGCUACUUUUGCCGGCGAGCGGCGGACGGGUGAGUAAUGCCUGGGGAUCUGCCCAGUCGAGGGGGAUAACUACUGGAAACGGUAGCUAAUACCGCAUACGCCCUACGGGGGAAAGCAGGGGGCCUUCGGGCCUUGCGCGAUUGGAUGA